CUAGCUUCCUAACAUUGGAAACAGUGUCCUCCUUCAAAUCUUCAUACUUCAAGAAUAAGACCUUUUCAGGAUGUUCUUGGCUUGCCUUCCAAUAUCCUGCAACAUGAUCCCAAUAAGGUCCAUUUAAAGCAAUUCCUUCGCAAAAUGACUCGAAGGAAUCAUCCAUGCUGCAAUAUGCAUCUUUAUCGAUUCCUUCAGGUAAUCUUGCUCUCAAGAAAUGCCACAUUGAUACUAACACAUCCUUAGGAUCCCUGCAAAAAUACACCAUUUUACAUCCCAAUGCUGUUAUAGAAGUUGGCAGGGAACCAUAAGGAAUAUGUGUAGCUACAAGUGGAUUUUCUGGAUCACGAAUACAAGCUUUUUUUGUACCAAUUUCAACUUCCAGAAAAGGAACACAAUCGUGUGGUGUAGAUGUCAACAAAGGGCUUUCGCUAAUGCUAUAACGAGAACGUGUAGUAAUUGCAAAAGCUAAGGCCUUAAGCCAAGUUGUGCCGGUUUUAGGAUAAGUACAUAAGACAAGAUCAUCAGGUUGAGCUUGAAAUUUUUCUUGAGCAGCUAACAAUGCCUCUAGAUAAACAGUGAAGUACCAAAAGCCUUGGUAUUGGUGAAGAGGCAUGAAUUUCCAAUCAUUUCUUGCGGGUAGGGUGGAGAUAAGCUCACUGUAGUUGCUUUGAGGCAGGGAAAUUUGUGGUCCUCCUUCCUUGUCUUCAUGGACAAGGGGGAGUGCUUUGUUCAAUCUCGACUGCCGCAGUUGCACGAUGCUGGACACCCUUUGUUGUGAACCACCCCAUUGUGGAACCAACAUAGGGCGUACACCAAUGUUUUUCGAGGACUGUGAGGUUAUCACAUUUGUUGGGACUCCAUUCACAAUUCGUCCAUAAACAAGAUCCAUUUGGGAAUGAAAGAAAAAAAAGAAGCAAAUUUAAGUAAGAAUGCUUUGAUGGAGUAAUAGCCAAAUGAUAAAUGGAUCGAGCUGGUGACAAUGGAGGAUGAAAGGAUCCUAUAUUUAUAAUACAAGUAACAGCUCUUUUAAAAUAAAAUAAAAUAAAAUAAAACAAUUAACUAGUGGCAGCUAAAUCAGACUUCAUGCCGCCUAGAUUGAAGUAGAUAAAUUAAUCCCUAAUUUAAAGAUUUCAGGCCGCCUUAAUUUCAAUUAACAAAAAAAAAUUGGGCGCUCUUUCAGUAGACUUGGAUUGAUAAAAAAAAUAGUAUACUACACCCUCGGUAGUCCCUUCGAAGUAAGAGGUAAUUGAUUAAUUAAUUUUUUUUUCUGAAUUAUUUAGUUUUGAUUCUGACUAAAUCUGAUUUAAUUUAAUUUUAGUUUACAUCUAUCAUUUGGUAUGGUCAAUAUCGGUACCUUCUUGAUAUAAUAUAAUUAUCUGAUAUUAUUCUAUAUUUGCACAGAUACAUCUGUUUCAUUAUUGAAUAUCUUCUUAUUCUUUUUUUUUUUUUUUUCUAUGAUGGCCUUGGUUAGAAUUAAUUAUUCAUAUAUGUCCUUGCUGUUCUAGUGUAGUAGUUGUUGAUUGAAUGGUUGAUUUUUAAAUUUUAUGCAAUUUGCAGGUAUUUUCCAGAUUUUCUUAUUUUAACUUGGUAAUACUUCCCUUAAAAUCUCUUCCAAGGCAUUAUACAUUCAAUGCAUGUUUCUCUUCUGUAUUCAGUAGAUCGGAUGUAUGUAAUUACAGUACCGCAAAAAAGUGGCUUGUCUCCACUUCAGGUAAAUGCAUCUUUUCAUCAUAUGUUUUUCCUCACACCAAUUAAUAAUAAAUAAAAGAUUUUCUUUAUUAUCGAAUAUUUUGAUACAUAUUCUUUUGCAUCUAUUUUUGGCUUGAAGGCUUUGACAUUGCAUUACUAUUCGUUAUCACUGUAUUUGUUGUUAAGAGCUAAAAUAGAGUCUUGUGUUAGCAGUAACCGAAUAUAAUGAUGAAUAAUGAUGAUACUGGUAAUAUAUAGAUAGAUGAAAAAAAAAAAUUUAUCAGAUUAAAACAUCGAGGUUCAGCUUAGACUUUUAAAAGUUAAAGAUGCUGAAAAAGAAAUAUCAUUAAAACUAAUGCUUAAGAAAACACGUUAAAAACUGGUGAAAAGUUUAAUUAUAAGUGAUCUUCAAGUGAGAAUACAGCACUGAAGCUGGCAACUAGGGCAAGCACCGAGAAUUUCUUGGAGCAAUCUGACGAGCAUUUCUUUCACUGUACAAAUGGAAGACUUUCAGGCAGAUAAGUGGCCAUUCAUUAAGAUAAAUUUCUCUGGUAUUACCGUUGUUCCAAUAAGGUAGGAUUCUUAUCUGUUCUUAUCCACCUCCUAGUGUUGUGAAACAUGAAGCGCAAAGACUCAAAGUCCUGUCUGAGCAGCAUAAACGAGGUAAGGCUGCAAGCCUAGUGAGAAAAAUGAAUAAAUGGGAGAAAGAGGAAUCGGCUCUCCAAGUAAACUGUCUAAUUCUGGGUGGUACUUGAAUUCGCCAAAUGGGAUCAGGGGUACUUGUUAAAUAUCUGGCAUUGGCAGUUGUUAACAAAGAGUUGUUCCUUUCAUAAUCAGCUGAAGCCAAAAGACUUCACCAAAGGAAAAUUCGGAUGAUUUGCUUAACUUUUUUUGGGUGCUACUAUUUUUAUUUUUAUUUUAAUAAUUGGUACCAAAAAAAUAUCUAUACCAAUUGGAUAUAAUGACCAACGAUUUGAUAUCAACGAAGUAAUUUUUCUGAAAACUAAGAUUGAUAAUCCAUUAUAAUACUUGGCUUUAAGCAUUUGGAGCUAAAGCGUUAGCAUGAGCCCCGAAUUUCCAUGCCUGCUUAGUUAUUAAUACGAACUCACUCGAAAAGAUACCUCCAUGCGAGCAAGAGCUCGCCACAGGAAGACAUGUCGAGCGGACCCUUAGAUCAGUCGUGUUUAGAGCUAGCGCAAGAUAAUAGAAGCCUACUCCAGCACGACUUCAUCUCCUACAAACUUGAAAGAGGACUCUAAUAGUUGUUAUUCAGUAAAUAAAGGACUUUAUCCCACUUAUGAUAACUCUAUCUCUGAUAAUGAAAGAAACAUAUCGCUAGUAAACUACUCUAUCUCAACAUCUAUAGAUAUGGAUAAUACAUGUCACAACCCGAUCUGUGGGCCCGUGACCGGUACUAGGAAAUGGGUAGGCGUAAGGCCACUGAAUCUCGUAGUAAGCCCGACCAUUCACUAACUUAAUCAAAUUGAAACUCGGACUCAACUCAAAAUACUAAUUCACAAUUAACCUUAAUAUCAAAUUCUACAUAUUUAAUUUGGUAUGCCAGCAUAAUUAGGCAAGACCCUAAUUUACAUGAAAUUACAAACUAAUAAGUCUAAAAUUUCUACUGUGGAGAAUCUAGAAUUUUAGAAGUUAACAUACAAAUAAAUUUAGUUACAUCUAACCCGAUAAUAAAGAAGUCGGGCUGCUAGAGAAAAAAACUGCAAAAAACUAACUACACCUGAAUGCUAUAAAAUUGAGACUGUCAGUCUCGAGAGUGAGUUAAAAUCAUAUAUCUCACAACGAAUAUAAAUACUUCAAUAAAAUAUUUGUUUAAUUAAAAUAAAAAUACGUGUCAUGUUAUGCUUUUGUAAAAUAAAAUAAAUUUUAUUGCAUAUUACCGGACGGAGUAUCUCAGCAUAACCUUAGCUCCAACACUAACGGUUUCUACUCUCUCAUUCCAACAGAAUUGAUGUCCAGAGAGUGAAGCUCGACCAGGAUCCUUAAAUCUAGUCCGGUCACUUAAUUAUCACUAAUAGUCUUUAGCCUUUCGGCUCUCUUACUCUAAUAAGACNNNUGCUCAGAGAGCAAUGCUCGACCAUGGACCUUACUUCGGCAACACACUCUUAUUUCUUAAGUUUGGUGUACCUCCUCACCUAUAUACCAAACUGAUAAAUAAUUGACACAAAUUAAUUAGUUUUAAAUAAUAAAAUAUAUAUCAAUCAUCUAAUACUAAAGUGUAAAACAUUUAUAAUAUAUAUCAUUUUUCUUUUUAUUGUGGUGAACUAAGCUUAGAUAAGAAUUUCUCAUAUUAAAGUUACUAAAACAUCAGUUGUCGAUAACACAUUUAUUGCCUUUGAAAAAGUCUUCUAUUAUUAAAGGUGGCAAAUUCUACUUAUUUAUAUUUAUCCAUUUUAAUCCAAUUUUAUUAUAUAAAUAAAUAAUAUAUAAAAUUUAAAUAAAUUAUAAAAAAUAAAAAAUAAUCAUCAUUAUUUACAUGAUUUAGAUCGCAUCAGAAAUAAAUACUCACUAAUAAACCAUCUUAUUAAUUUAUUUUCCUAAAAUUGAAUACAAAUCCAACACUCAUUUAUCAAUAGACAUCAUCAAACACCUGAUAAACUAAUCUUACUUCUGUAUUGUUCUAGAUUCGUAAUUGGGAUUAUCAUUUCUUGCUCUUGCUUCAAGAUUUCUAUAAUUGAUAAAAACUUUUGAUACUAUUUUCCACUUCUGUUAUAUAUAUAUAUAUAUAUAUAUAUAUAUAUAUAUAUAUAUAUAUUAGCAGAAUUGUUAUUAUUAUUAUUUUUUGUUGUUCUUGAACAUGCACCUCAUUUUGAGUUGUCUUCUUGCAGUUUUUUGAUUUGUUUUUUUUUUUUUCUUUUUAAAGUGUGUUGAUGUCUCUUUGAUUAGUGCUUACUCAAUAUUUUUAAUUUAAUAGGGUACUCUGUAGAAACGAUCACUCACAUUCUUCUUAAAUUUUUCAAUUUUGAUUAAGAAUCAAAUGCGGCUUUUGUUGGUAUACUAGGAAUUCAAACUUUCUUUUCUUUUAGUUUUUGAACAGUUUAUAUUUAAAAUAAUUCAAACUUUAAUUAGUGUAAAAACACCAACAAACCCAAAAGUGAAGAAACCUUAAAAUAAAAAUCGGCCCGAAAACUUGUAAAAAAGAAUCAGCUCAAAAAGAAUUAAAUUGAAAAAUAUAUUACUUAGUGAAAAUAAGAUCUAUAGUAAUAAUAUAAUAUAUUAAAACUAGUUUCUUAAGAAAAUAUUAAAAUAAUUAGAUUAAUAAUAAUUUAUUAAAUAAGCUACUAAAAAUUUAUAUGAGUUAUAUGAUUGGAUAAUUAUAUAAAUUUUAAAUGAAUUAUAUUCAUUUAAUGAUGGAUUUAGAUGGACGUUAAACUUUAAAUAUAUAUUUUAUAAUAUUUAUAUAUAAUAAUAUUAAAUAUUAAAAAGGAUUGAUCGAUUAAAUAUGAAUCGAAAACUGAGCCUUGAUUGAUUUCACUUUAACUAAUAAAAAAAAAUAGCAGGAGCAAAAAGUUUCACAAAAGAAUUCGUCUAACCGAUCAAAGAAUUCUAUCUCUUUUUCUCAUUGAUAAUUGUAACCAUGUAACCAUAUACAUAUAAAAUGACUUUAAUGGAAUGCCAAUCUGUGGGCUUAAUUUAAAAAGUCUCUAUUCCUUAGUAAUUAAAAUCUAAAGAUUUAUGAACCAAUACGUAUUUGACUAGCCAAGCGGACAAAUGACUCUAUAUUUUUACAAACCAAGAUAUAUAUAUAUAUAUUAGUGUCGUUCGUAAUGGAAAGAAAGAUACCACUACUUGGCCUCUUUGUUGGACCGCCGGCGCGAACACAGUGGUCUCUGACCAGGACCAGGAACCAAUUCAAAUUUGGAUCUUGACAUGUUGGUGGUUUUUAACCGUAGGCAUCUUGCCAGGAACCCAUGAACCGUCUGUUAUAUGCAAAAUUAAUAUGAGUAUUAAAAUACCACAUGCAAUGUACCAAGUCAACAUUACAUUCAUAAGCCAAAAAUAAUCCUAACAGUUCCUCCCACUUUGAAAAGUAAAAUAACAAACAAUUGUAGAUAAUUUUUUUUCUUAUUUUUUUAUUUUUAAGAAAAUAAAAGUUUUUAUAUUUUCUAUAUAAGAUUUCUAUAAUAUAUUUAUUUAUUAUUAUUAUAAAAUAUAUUUAUUUUUUAUUUAAAUAAUAUUUUAAGUAUAAAAAGUAAAUUAUAAAUCAAAUAAAAAUUCUUUAUUAUUUAAAAACUAGUGAUCUUUUAUAUAAAUAAAAAUAUAUAAAUUUUUUUCAAAGUUUACUUAUAAAUUCUGAAAAUACAAAAAAAAAUUAUUUUAUUUCAAAAAAUAAUAUAAGUAAAUUUAAAAUUCUGUUGUUAUUUUUAUUUAAAAUUAUUUUUAUAAAAUUAAUAUAAUCUAUAAAUAUAAAUACACCGUAAAACUUCUCAUUUUGCUACGUGAGAAAUAUUUCUUCCCAUAUUUUACCAUCAAAUAGUAUAUUUUUCCUUUUAAUUAAUUAAUAUAAAUAAAGUUUUCUUUUCAUCAAAAGAAAAUGAUUUACUAAAAUUUUAUAUCAUGAAUAUCGUUAAUAACUUUUUCUUACAUAUGUAACGUUAAUCAGAAAGAGAGAAAAUAAGAGAAGUAAAAUAUUUAGAUUAAAAUUAUUUAUAACAAAAAUUAAUAAGUUUAGAAUUCAUUAGAAGAUAUUUUAAAUUUUAUAAAAUUUAAUUUAAUUAAUAAUUAAUUUUUAUAAAUUUAAUAAGAAAAUAUCUUAAUUUUUUUUUAAAAACAAAUUUUAUAAAAAUUUAUAGAAUUUGUUAAUAUCAAAUGCAAAGUAAAAGAAUCAUAUUUCAUUCUAUUGAAAAAGAAGGAAAAAGAAGAAAGAAAUAUGUGUACCAUAUGAAAGCAAAUUGAAUUAGUUAUGAGCCAUAUUUCUUAAUAGCAGAACUCUUAUUUCACUUGCAUAAUAAUGUUACAACAAUAAAUAUAAAACAACAGAAAAAUCAAAGGAAAGAAAAGGCAAAAUUAAUCGAACCUACAUAACAAGUUGCGCAUGCUUCUGCACCAUAUUUCCUAUAUUAGUUUUCGCUCUUAUUUUCAUAGUCUAGCUAUGUAGAUAAAGAUUUUAUUAAUUUUCUUUCAAACCUCAGUUACUUGAAUGUCGAGAAAGAAAGGAGAAGCCGGAAUCAUUUAGUUUUUCUUCAACAAUUUGAUCUAAACAAGCACCCAUUUCUUCAGUAAAAUAAUUCUUCCAAUCUCCACUCUUACCUUUCCGAUAGUAUAAACUAUUUUUCAUAGUAAAUGGAGAGUCUGGACUGUAAACACCGUUUUCUGUUACUUUUGAAUUUUUUAAACUCUCAAAACUGCAUAAAUCAAUGAUUUGGUGCACUACUCCUUGUUUCUCUUCCUCUAAAGUAAAGGGAUAUCCAAGAAAGUUAGCUAGUUUCUUAACAUUGAAAACAAUGUCCUCCUUCAAAUCUUCGUAUUGCAAGAAUAAAACCUUCUCAGGAUACUCUUGGCUUGCCUUCCAAUACCCUGCAACAUGAUCCCAAUAAGGUCCAUUUAAAGCAACUCCUUCACAAAACGACUCGAAAGAAUCAGCCAUGUUGCAAUAUGCAUCUUUGUCGAUUCCUUCUGGUAAUCUUGCUCUUAAGAAAUGCCACAUUGAUACUAACACAUC
rnacentral:lncRNA from 1 species